rnacentral:lncRNA from 1 species
CUCCAUUUCUGGCCUUUGGUCUCUUUCUCGGAAAGCAGGCCUCAGUGGCCUCAGUUUCUUCCCAGAACCUGCAAUGCCCCACCAAGGUGACAAGAAGUGCAAGGAGUCGGUUUUCACUGCCAACCAAAGAGGUGACCCCCGCAAAGCAACCAUGUUGGGACAGUCCAUUUGCUGCGUUUUGAUUAUUUGCUAAGAGCAAAUACCUUUUCUGUUUGGGUUUUGCUUUUAGAAAAAAAAUGUGGCAGAUGGUGGUGGCUUUCCCCGUCAUUGAAAGAAGAAAGGUAGUAACUCUACUGGUGCACUCCUCUGAGUUGUGCUAACAAAGAAGAAUGCUGAAAGAAAAGGGAAAUGAACACCAUUUUCAGGCAGCUUCUCCAAGUUUUUUUGACAGUGUUAUAAUUUUCCUUUAGCGACUGUUGAAGCAAAUAUCUGUAUUUAUGUUCAGAUUAAACCGAGAGAGCAAAGACUGCUAAAGCCAGUAAUUUCUGGGCUGCAAAUGCAGGAUAGCUCCAGUGAAUUUCAGAUUCUUAAAGGUUUUUGCUGUAGCGAAUUCAUGACACAAAGCAUUUGGAGGGAAACCUAUUAGAGAAGAAACACAUCCUAAAUGAGAAUUACUGAGGACGGGAGGCUCUUGUCAUUUAUUGGAUUAGUUAUAGCACUUUACACAAGCCUGUAAUAUUUGUUCUGCUGCUGUGGUGUGACUGGUAAAAUGAAAAGGUAUGUCAAGGGAGUGCUUGACUGACGUUCUUAUUUCUUCCGUCUUCUUAUAUUGCUGAGCAUCUUUGAAAGCUGAGCUAGAGGCGGAGCAACUGGUAAACCAGAUGUCCCAAAUUUCUAGGUUUGUACAUUGUAAUUGUUCUAGACUUGUGUGUGGAUAUUGGUAAAAUGACAUAGUCAGAUAUCUCACAGAUUUUGUGAGAUAUGUCCAAAGUUCCCAAGUUAAUUUAUUACUAAAGUUAGAAUUUCACUUACUGUGAGAUU